UACGGAAGGCAGCAGUGGGGAAUAUUGCACAAUGGGCGCAAGCCUGAUGCAGCCAUGCCGCGUGUAUGAAGAAGGCCUUCGGGUUGUAAAGUACUUUCAGUCGUGAGGAAGGUGUUAAGGUUAAUAACCUUAGCAAUUGACGUUAGCGACAGAAGAAGCACCGGCUAACUCCGUGCCAGCAGCCGCGGUAAUACGGAGGGUGCGAGCGUUAAUCGGAAUUACUGGGCGUAAAGGGCACGCAGGCGGUUAAUUAAGUUGGAUGUGAAAUCCCCGGGCUUAACCUGGGAAUGGCAUUCAAGACUGGUUAGCUAGAGUCUUGUAGAGGGGGUAGAAUUCCAUGUGUAGCGGUGAAAUGCGUAGAGAUGUGGAGGAAUACCGGUGGCGAAAGGCGGCCCCUGGGACAAAGACUGACGCUCAUGUGCGAAAGCUGGGGAGCAAACAGGAUUAGAUACC
rnacentral:rRNA from 1 species